rnacentral:rRNA from 1 species
UGCAGUCGUACGGUAACAGCCAAGCAGCUUGCUUCUUUGCUGACGAGUGGCGGACGGGUGAGUAAUGUCUGGGAAACUGCCUGAUGGAGGGGGAUAACUACUGGAAACGGUAGCUAAUACCGCAUAACGUCGCAAGACCAAAGAGGGGGACCUUCGGGCCUCUUGCCAUCGGAUGUGCCCAGAUGGGAUUAGCUAGUAGGUGGGGUAACGGCUCACCUAGGCGACGAUCCCUAGCUGGUCUGAGAGGAUGACCAGCCACACUGGAACUGAGACACGGUCCAGACUCCUACGGGAGGCAGCAGUGGGGAAUAUUGCACAAUGGGCGCAAGCCUGAUGCAGCCAUGCCGCGUGUAUGAAGAAGGCCUUCGGGUUGUAAAGUACUUUCAGCGGGGAGGAAGGGAGUAAAGUUAAUACCUUUGCUCAUUGACGUUACCCGCAGAAGAAGCACCGGCUAACUCCGUGCCAGCAGCCGCGGUAAACGGAGGGUGCAAGCGUUAAUCGGAAUUACUGGGCGUAAAGCGCACGCAGGCGGUUUGUUAAGUCAGAUGUGAAAUCCCCGGGCUCAACCUGGGAACUGCAUCUGAUACUGGCAAGCUUGAGUCUCGUAGAGGGGGGUAGAAUUCCAGGUGUAGCGGUGAAAUGCGUAGAGAUCUGGAGGAAUACCGGUGGCGAAGGCGGCCCCCUGGACGAAGACUGACGCUCAGGUGCGAAAGCGUGGGGAGCAAACAGGAUUAGAUACCCUGGUAGUCCACGCCGUAAACGAUGUCGACUUGGAGGUUGUGCCCUUGAGGCGUGGCUUCCGGAGCUAACGCGUUAAGUCGACCGCCUGGGGAGUACGGCCGCAAGGUUAAAACUCAAAUGAAUUGACGGGGGCCCGCACAAGCGGUGGAGCAUGUGGUUUAAUUCGAUGCAACGCGAAGAACCUUACCUGGUCUUGACAUCCACGGAAGUUUUCAGAGAUGAGAAUGUGCCUUCGGGAACCGUGAGACAGGUGCUGCAUGGCUGUCGUCAGCUCGUGUUGUGAAAUGUUGGGUUAAGUCCCGCAACGAGCGCAACCCUUAUCCUUUGUUGCCAGCGGUCCGGCCGGGAACUCAAAGGAGACUGCCAGUGAUAAACUGGAGGAAGGUGGGGAUGACGUCAAGUCAUCAUGGCCCUUACGACCAGGGCUACACACGUGCUACAAUGGCGCAUACAAAGAGAAGCGACCUCGCGAGAGCAAGCGGACCUCAUAAAGUGCGUCGUAGUCCGGAUUGGAGUCUGCAACUCGACUCCAUGAAGUCGGAAUCGCUAGUAAUCGUGGAUCAGAAUGCCACGGUGAAUACGUUCCCGGGCCUUGUACACACCGCCCGUCACACCAUGGGAGUGGGUUGCAAAAGAAGUAGGUAG